GAUUGUCUAACUUCAUCACUCACUCAGUGUACAUUCUACCAUGCAUCAGCCUGAGCAGGAAGAUGAGGACGUCCCGCCCUCCAACAUCUCUCCGUCUGAGGCACAUGACAGCCAGGCUGAACCUGAGAGGCCUGAACAGGAGAGAGCAGGUUCUCCUGUACCA